GGUAAAGUGGCUGAAGUUUAGGCAAUAAAUUGUAAAUUUAUUUAUGAAUAAUUUUCUUUUACCA
rnacentral:tRNA from 1 species